GACCGCUUAGCUCAGUUGGAAGAGCGCUUCGCUUACAUCGAAGAGGUCGGGGGUUCGAGACCCUCAGCGGUCA
rnacentral:tRNA from 1 species